rnacentral:misc_RNA from 1 species
CCAAUAGCGUAUAUUAAAGUUGUUGCAGUUAAAAAGCUCGUAGUUGAAUUUCGGGAUCAAAUUGUUGGUCGUGCUUCGGUACGCACUGGCAUUAUUGGUUCCUACCUUCUGAAGAACCGCGAUGUCAUUAAUUUGGUGUCGUGGGGAAUCAGGAUUGUUACUUUGAAAAAAUUAGAGUGUUUAAAGCAGGCUUACGCUUGAAUACAUUAGCAUGGAAUAAUGAAAUAGGACGUUUGAUUCUAUUUUGUUGGUUUCUAGGAUCGACGUAAUGAUUAAUAGGGAUAGUUGGGGGCAUUAGUAUUCAAUUGUCAGAGGUGAAAUUCUUGGAUUUAUUGAAGACUAACUACUGCGAAAGCAUUUGCCAAGGAUGUUUUCAUUAAUCAAGAACGAAAGUUAGGGGAUCGAAGACGAUCAGAUACCGUCGUAGUCUUAACCAUAAACUAUGCCGACUAGGGAUCGGAUGAUGUUAAUUUUUUAAUGACUCAUUCGGCGCCUUACG